rnacentral:tRNA from 1 species
AGUGCAGCUCAGGGGUAGAGCACCUGCCUGUCAUACAGAAGGCCUGGGUUCCAUUCCCAGCACU